GGAUGUGAGGGCGAUCUGGCUGCGACAUCUGUCACCCCAUUGAUUGCCAGGGUUGAUUCGGCUGAUCUGGCUGGCUAGGCGGGUGUCCCCUUCCUCCCUCACCGCUCCAUGUGCGUCCCUUCCGAAGCUGCGCGCUCGGUCGAAGAGGAUGACCUUCCCUGAAUAGAGGAGGACCGGUCUUCGGUCAAGGGUGUACGAGUAGCUGUGCUCCCCUGCUAGAACCGCCAAACAAGCUCUCAAGAAUUCAAAUGGCAGGAACCCGGAGACCUGGAGAUAGGAGCUGAUGCAGAGGCCAUGGAGGAUGCUGCUUACUGGCUUGCU
rnacentral:snRNA from 1 species